UUUAUUUUGAAAUUGUAAACAAAAUGUAAACAAUUUAUAUAUAUACAUAUAUAUUUGUUCAUACUAUAUAUCAUAUUAUUUAGAGAAUGUUCACAUAUAUUAGAAUAGUGAUUUGAAUUUUGAAUUAAUAAAUAUUUUUUUUUACUCUACAACCGCUUAAUUCUUGAAGUUAUUAGACACCUAUUUUACAAUCGCGUACGUUCGCGCACUUUUCGGUUAUUUAUGAGAGAGAGUUGAAAUAUAUAUUUAAGGAGAAGAUACUUAAAAUAUAAAUUUCAAAAUUUUGUUUUAUUAUUAUAAAAGAAUAAAGGCUAAUAGUAAGAGUACUUGUAAAAUUGUUAAUAUAGUGAAUAAGAUGAUAAAUUGUAAAUUUCGUUUUGUAAAAUGCAUCUAUCCCUAAGGGGAUGGAUCAUUUUCGAAAGCGUGGAGUAUAUGUGGGAUCGAAAAAUAUCCCCCUUUUUUAUAUAUUUAUAUAACGACGCAAAUAAGUUGAAAUCCGACGACAUAGAAGAUACAGAGAGAGGAUAUGUCGAUUGUGUAAGAGACAAUAACAGCCGUUCUGGGAGAAAAGGUGAAGGAGAGGGCAGCGCUAUAUAAGAGCGAAGCUGGACAAAGGUCCUGGCUUGUGUUCCGGCCGAGUGAC
rnacentral:lncRNA from 1 species